AGGGAAUCUUCCACAAUGGACGAAAGUCUGAUGGAGCAACGCCGCGUGAGUGAUGAAGGGUUUCGGCUCGUAAAACUCUGUUGUUGGAGAAGAACAGUGUGAGAGUAACUGUUCACAUCUUGACGGUAUCCAACCAGAAAGCCACGGCUAACUACGUGCCAGCAGCCGCGGUAAUACGUAGGUGGCAAGCGUUGUCCGGAUUUAUUGGGCGUAAAGCGAGCGCAGGCGGUUUCUUAGG
rnacentral:rRNA from 1 species